UUACAGCACUUUACGACGGCUUCCGCGCGGCGGCGAGCCGGUGGAGCGGGUUGGGAGGUCGGGUGCGGGCUGGUCGCGGGGCUGGACCACAGUAGACCCUGUGGCUGCUGGGGCGCGGAGUUUUUUAGGCGCUCCACAACAGUGAGCAGGAAAAGCGCGGCACGUUCGUACGGUCCAGGACUGGGCAGCGGUGUGAACGGAUGAAGUCCUUCCGCACGAGACGGCGUGGGCGGGGCUCACAGCAAGUGCAGCCGCAGACCCCUUGGAGACGGGCCGUCGCCGCCGUGGCAGAGUCCGCAGCCGGCGGGACCCAGGACGAGAGAGCAUUUCUGCACGCCCUCGGCGAUCCUUUCGCACCCCUUUCCCAGAAGCCCCCGGGAGCGAGGCUUCCCUGUUUCUCGGGGAUCGCAGAUUCGACAACAGAUGCGUGCACGUCCGGGAGCGUUCACCGGGAGCGGAGGUUUGGCCCGGUUCCUUCCACAACCAAUCGGAAGCCCGAGGACACCCAAUUGGCCUUAUUCGUGCCUGAUUUAGUGCAAAACACCAUUUAUUUAGAGGCAUGCAUAGGCCAUGUGUCCUGUACUCUGCAGGCUUACGAGAAGCGUGGUUCCUGCCGGCGCCCUCUAGAGGUGAUACCCAAGUGGCAGGGCAGCCCGAUGAAGGGCCGAGCAGCGAUGCAGCUCUGCUCCGGGUACCGGCUGCACUGCGGGAAAGCGGGGGAUGCGAUGCCUUGUGCUGGACACUGCUCCCACUGCUCGGCCUAACUCUGUUCUUUUUGUGCUGCCUGGGUGACACAUGGAACCCCUUUCUGGAUGCUUAAUUGGUCAUCAGAUAACCAGGGUGGCCCUCAAAACCGGUCUCUGGGCGCUGGACUAACCCUAGCUACCUGUGCCUGUUUCUGGGAUCACAAACCUGGCUGCCGUUUUGCCAGCUUCACUGGUGCGGGGGGAGAGGCUGACAGUGUGUGCUCUGACUGGGACACCCCUGCCUGCUUUCAGGCGCCUGUGUGCGGACACCCUGGGGAGCAUGCAGUGCGGAGAGGUGAGUGGGUGUGCCCACCUCGGCCCCGGGAGACCUGGGGCAUCCCGGCCUUCUGCACUGCGCGCUGGCUCGUGGAAUUCUCCUGAGCCCCGCAGACACGGGGGCCCCUGAGAGCCCGGCUUCCGGGGCCCACCUGUCCUAGUGACCGGUCCUGUCCGUGCGUCAGACGCACUGGCAGUGGAGCCGCAGCCCCCCGCCCGCAGAAGGGUGUACUGUGCGUGGAGACCUUGGCCCAGGCGCGGACCCUGGUGGCUCCUGGCUUUAUUGCAGCCUGUGUUUUCAGUUUUGCCAUUUCAUCUACGGUCUCAUUCCUCUCUGAUGUUGCUGAACAGCCGCGGGUUUGCUGCUAACCAUGAGAAAAGAUUCUCGCUAUUGUCAUUCUAGCCCCUUCCUCAAUGCCCUUCAGGUGAGCUCCUGAGCUCGAACUGCAGGGGCGUCAAGGUGGCACCCGCCCUCCUGCCCUGCCCCCACCGGCGCUCUCCACUGUGGCAGGUCCCACAGGGAUGCAUCUGCACCCCAAAGCAGAGAGAGAUUCUGGGGUGACCCUGAGAGCUCUCACUCCCUAAUUAAUUGCUCUCUGUGUCUCCUAAGUAACCUGGACUCGUCCAGCCCUCCCUGGGACACAGCUCAAGCUUCACCCUGUCUGGCUGUCGUCACCUCUCGCCCCCGCCGCAGGGCAGCCUGCGCACCGGUCUCCCUGUCACCCGCGUGUGUUGAUUGCUUGGACCCACAUCCCAACAGGGUUUUCCUGAGAGAAAUGUCACUGUGGUCUUAACACUUUUCAGUCCUCCCGAGCUACUUUCACAUGAAGGUCCAGACUCCGUGCGCUAGUACCAGCUCUUCCUCGCGUAGCGGUGACCUGGUCUCCAGGCCUCCGUCCUGCGGCCCGAGGUCCUUUGCUGCAGCCACGCCAACCCCCUCUCCGGAAGUCGGGGUUUCUCGCUGUCGCCACUGGGCAGCGUGGCACGUGUGGGGCGUUUGGUGUCCGGGCCCCUGCGGCUUGGAGUCCAGACCGGGGAGCCCUCCAUGCCCCCGCCCACACCUCCCUGGCCCCCCAUCGCGCCCCUCCUCCCCGGCGCUCCCUGCCCCGCGCUCACAGUUCAGGCCUGACGUCUCUCCUGCCCAGCCGCCGCUUCCCUUCCCCGCCCUCUGGUCUGGCGAGGACACACUUCCCGGCUCGCGUGUCUCCCGCGGCGCCGGCCAGUCCCACUGCGGGGGUCUGUGCGCACCUCUCCGCCCUGACAGCAGGCACUGCGCCCGGCCGAACGCGGUGCAGCUGUGGACCACGCCGAAUAAAAGC